rnacentral:piRNA from 1 species
UGGGACUAGAGCUGGGUGUCACGUGAACCC